GAACUGCACAUGAGGAAAAAGUACUGUUAGGAAUAAAAUCCUCCAAAGGCACCCAUGCAGUACGUGCCAUCAUUGUCCAAUACAAGCUGAGAAGAACAUUCUUCAGAAGUGUUCUCAGGAUAAUCCACAAAACCUUUCAGGAAAGGUGCUUUUCAAGUUGAGAUUGCUCUGAGCAGUUGCCAGCAACAGAACAGAAACACCAGAAAAAGUCAUGAGGCAUAACAAUAGAAGUGUUUUCCUAAGCACCCGCAACCUUACAGGUCUCCUCACCUUAGAUGUGUCAGUGUACCUGAAGAGAACCGUAGGAAGCCAGCUGGUAUCAGAAUCCCACAGAUUAGGUCCUGAUAGUUUAGCUUGGUCACUGUAUGUACUUUCCACACUGACUGGGAUGGGUGUUUUUUAAUUCUGUAGUGAAGGAACGCAAAUCGUGGCACUCUCCACCUUUUGCAGAUGAUUUCGCUGUGGUGCAUUAUCAUGACACAGUACCCACUGUAUAAUUUUAUGUAAGAAGGCAUGUUAGGACCCAGCACGCUGAAUGAGUUAAUGAUACAGCAGAGAAUCUGCGUCUGGCUACUUCACCAUACUGGUGAUGAACAGGAGAGCAGGAAGUGGUGAGAAAGCGUGGCAUUAAAAUUGUACCAGAGCAAGAGCAGAACCAUCAUACAGACCCAGACCAUUGUUAAAACUCUAAAAUUAGAGGUAUAAUCAUAAUAGAAACCUCACAUUCUAACUUAAUUUAGGUUCUCCAGGAAGAAUUGCAGAUGCUUUCAUCCCACAAAGCAUGUUGCCUGGACAAGUCUUCAGGAGUUGUUUGCCUGCUGGCCAUGACAACGCAUGUAGCUGGGAGCAUCUUGGGGGAGCAAGUAUAUCUGCACAGCGUUCCUGAGAGAUUUGUGAAGGAGUUUAAGCUGGUACAGAAGACUAUUAAAAUGUGCGGUACUGCCUGCAAAGCAGUGGGAAGAUCAAACAGCCAGCUGCUCAACAUUGUUCACUGCCUUCAGAGAACGAUGAACACAUCAGCACGGCUGAGCGCUGCUGUAGAUCACCCAGCACACACAGAGUACUACAGUGACCUUAAGAGAAGUUUCAAAGUGGAGGAUGCUCUGGCUCCACCUACCACUGCAUUACCUAUGUCUUUGCUGCAAGCUGCCCAUGUGGCCAAGGAUGACACUGCCGCGUGUACCCCAGCUCCCCUGGACCAUGUCACUUCACAAAGAUUUGGUCUGCUUAGAGGCCAGGAGGCAGCUCUUUUCCCCUGAAGCCCAUCUGAAGCAAGAGUCUCUUGUCUUUAAGGUAUGUGAAAUAACGAUAAAAUCUGCAUUUCUCCUGUAUCUUUGCAUUUUCUCUAUUUGGCAAGUUCACUUGGCGGUCAACAUGAGGAAAUCUGGCAUGGCUGAUAAGAGUUGCUGAAGGUGGUGCCUCCCAUGCACAUGUCACCAGAUGGUGCAUUUUCCUUUCUGAUGGCACAGCCCCAAGGCUGUUCUCGUUCAGGUUAUGUGAUGUUAUCAACUGCUAGUCAGGCUUUUGCAGGAAGUACUGUUUUUGUACUCCAGAAAAUGAUCCUUGUGUUAUUUUUGUCCUGAAAAUGAGCCACAAAUACUGAUUUAAGACCACAUUGCCCAUCUUUUAGGAAUGGUUUACUUCCCCAUGGAAAAAUAUGCAGUUUUUAUCUGAAUUUAUUACCUGUUACUUUGCUUCAUGCAUUAAAUACGACAGAAACCACAAAAUAACCAAGACUGGCUAUAUCGUGAAGGGGAAAAACUUGCUAAGCCUUAAAGAGGGUUCAUGUAUUUAAAAUAAGAAGUACCAAAAAGCUAACUUCUGAACAUUCAAAGGCAGGAGGUGGUAUACAUGCGAAGGCUGUUCUGGCAUUUUGGCUUGAAGAUCAACAGCCCAUGUUUACACUCACAGUGUGUAUCUGCCAGUUUUGCUCUUUGUGGAGCCCUUGAUCUGGAUAAAGGGGUAGUGAGGUAUGCAGCUAAAGUCUGUCUCAGAAGCCAAGCUGCCCAUAGGGAAGAGGACAGCUUAUCCAGAUAUCUGGAUGGGAUCAGUAUUUGCACUCGCAAAUAGCAGCACUCUGCAUCCGUAUCCCAACUGAGCCUCAGCUGGGACAUGACCAGAAUACAGGAAGAGUGAGCUUAUUAAAUUUAUGUUGGCACCUUGUCAUUUUGAAGGUUUUUGAGGACCCAAAGCAGCUGUUUACAAGGCACCCUUGUUUUCUCUCAUUUAUUCAGUAAGAGGCAAAAAUAGUUUAGAAAGAGAGAUCAUCUAAUCAGGCAUUCAUAAUGAAGUAUUAUUGCCUGUCCCAUAUGUUCCCUUCGGACUGUUGCUGUCAUUUAUUAACUCAAGCAUGUGAUUUGUAGCAUCCUUUUUGGGAAAGUGUCCUGCUAUCUAACAUCCUUUUUUGGAAGGCUGUUUCCAAAAUUUUGCUGUGAAUGUAUUCCUCCAAUGCACACACAUGUUCCACUUACAGCAAUUUAUCAUUUUCUUUCUUGGGAAACUUGCAGGGAUCUAUUCACAGUUUUCUCGUGUAAGCUGAAGGUUAUAACUCUAAGGAAGGCCUAGAGAUCCAAAACCAAUCUUGUGUCACUGAAGAUGUUUUCUCAGAAUAAAAUCCACCUCAGCUAGGUUGCA
rnacentral:lncRNA from 1 species